rnacentral:ncRNA from 1 species
CUAUGACUAAAUGUCAUGGCGGAAGGAG